UGGUAAAAAGAGAAAGAAUGAUGAAGUAAGGGAAAUAGAAAGUAGUGGAUAGAGGAAGGGGAGGAAAAGUUUGUUUGAAUAUCACUCCGCUGUAUUUUGUUAUUCUGGGGAAAGUUGAAAGUUUUGAGUUUUUGUAUUGAAAGCAAUUAACUACCUGAUUAUCAACAAGGGAACGAACACCUCUUAGUUUUUGGAUUUAAAAAAAAAAAAGUAAUGGAAGUGAAAAAGAAAGUUUACGGAAACUCUCGAUGGCGACUUGACUUAAUAUUGGUAAUAAUCGUUGCUUCUUGUUGGUCUUUGAUGUUGUUUACAACACCAACAACAGCAAAAGAAACUACGUCAACAACUCCAGCGAUAACGACCCCCAUACCAACAUCGGAGCCACCUUCGAAAUAUUGUCCCAUGUUUAACAAGAGCUGUGAAAAAUGUGUACUAUCUGUCAAAUGCAUUUACUGUUAUGUGGACCAAACCUGCAAACCAUAUCCUGUUGGACAUGUCCUUCCCAAGUCUUCAGAAUGUCCGUUUUCCAAGACCCGGUGGACCAACUGUUUGAUCAACUUUGAAGCUCUCCUUAUUUCUAUGGGUGUCAUCGCCGGCCUGUGUCUUUUCUCCUGUAUCCUCUGCAUCUAUUGCUGUUGUUGUCGCAAGAGCAAACGACUCAAGUACAUGGCUGAUGAAAUAAAGUUUGAAAGACAAAAGGAAGAGCGCCGAAUAAAAUCUGAUGAAAGGAAACAAGAAAGGCAACAGAGGAAUGACGAAAUCAGGAAGAAAUACGGUCUGGUAAAGGAGGAGAAUCCUUACAGAAGAUUUGAUGCUUAAAAGAAAGAAAACAACUAAAAUUUAUGGAGACUCUCAGAGAUCUGCAGACUGACCAUCAUUCUGAAAUUUACACUAAAAGAGAGGAACUUCAUAAAUGCUGGACUUAGCCAUUAAAGGCUCUGCACAUAAUUAUCAUUAUUUUCUACGUUUAUAUUCAAACUGUUUAAUUCAAUUAUAGUCUUAUUAUUUACUUUAUUAUACAUAUAAGAAUGAUUCUAAUGUCUGGAUGUCUGUCUGUGUAUGUUUUGAGUGUACUGAAAGUAUAUAUGUUCACGUAAAGGAAAGAAGAACCACAUAGCGUUAGUAUGUUUUGAUUUUUUUUUUCAAAUGUGUGUUUGUACGGGUGUUUUUCUUUCAUUUUCCAUGUUUGGUUUGGGUUAGCAGAGGGAACCUUGGAGAGUAUGAAGUGUCUUAACACACAGCUGUUUUAGUGCCACUUAUUUGGCAUUACUGACUCCAUGCUGACUCAUUUGACAUCAGACAUUUUGGUGAUUGGCUUUAAUGUUUUUUGUCUCGCUCUUUUUCUCUCUCUGCGUGUGUAAGCAUAUUUCUUUUCCUGUGUCUGAGGAGAGAGAAGUGUUUAUGUCAGUUAUGUUUGAUUAACAGAUUUUAAUGUUUCUCUUUUAUUCUCCCUCCCUCUCUCUCUCUCUCUCUCCUUCACUCACUCUCUUUUUCUUCCCUUUCUUUCUCUUUCUCUAUGUAUAUACACAUAUUUCUCUUUAUGCAUAUGAGGAAAGGGAAUGCGUUUAAAUCAAUCAUAUUCAAUUGGUAAAUUACAAUCUCUCUUCUCCUUCUUUUCCCCCUCCAUUCUCCUCUCUCUCUUUAUGUGGAUAUUCCUAUAUGUGCAUGUGUUUGUGCAUGUAUUUGCUUCCAGCUCCAAAAAGUACUGUUGGCAAAACUUCUUCAGCAUCCAGUCAGCCUUGCCAAAUCAUCAGUAAUUCAACAGCAGCCCCCAAUCAUCUCAUCCUUGGAACUGUUGUGGUUUUGACUCUUAAAUUCCAUUUUCCCACAGCUAAUCACUCAAGACUGGAACCCUCAUUUUUAUGACCGAAUAGGUAACAUGAAAAAGAAAAAAAGAAAAGAAAAAAAACAAUGUUAUGUUGUCUACAGAACAUGAGACAGAAAGGACUCCUUCCAAUCUUCUCCAGUGGUGAAAUGAUUAAAGAAGACUCUUUAUUUAUGGAAGAUGGGGUUCCUUGUCACACGGCUAAAAUGACCCAAGAUUUGUUGGAUGAGAAUGGCAUUAAAAAACUUCCAUGGCCAAACCAGUCACCAGAUAUUAACCCUAUUGAACACCUCUGGGGCAUAAUGGACAGGACACUUCAUAAAAAGAACAAGAAAGCAUCUUCAAAGUCAAAUCUUUUGAGGUUACUGCAUAAAACUUGGCAAGAAAUUCUGCAAGAGAAUAUCCGUCAUCUGAUCAUUAACAUGCCCAAUAGGGUCCUUGCAUUGAAAAAUGCAAAGGGCAUGUCAACUAAAUAUUAAAUAUUCACAUUAUAAUAAUAAAUAAUUUUUAUGUAUAAUUUCAGAUUUCAAUAAAUGUUAAUGAUUAUAAA